GAGUGGGGGAGCUUGUAAACAGGCUGAGAGGGAGAUGAGAUCUCCGACCCGUUAACCUGAUGCGGAUAAUGCCGCCGUAGGGAUCA
rnacentral:ncRNA from 1 species